rnacentral:rRNA from 1 species
AGUGAACGCUGGCGGUAGGCCUAACACGUGCAAGUCGAACGGCAGCACAGUAAGAGCUUGCUCUUACGGGUGGCGAGUGGCGGACGGGUGAGGAAUACAUCGGAAUCUACUUUUUCGUGGGGGAUAACGUAGGGAAACUUACGCUAAUACCGCAUACGACCUACGGGUGAAAGCAGGGGAUCCUCGGACCUUGCGCGAUUGAAUGAGCCGAUGUCGGAUUAGCUAGUUGGCGGGGUAAAGGCCCACCAAGGCGACGAUCCGUAGCUGGUCUGAGAGGAUGAUCAGCCACACUGGAACUGAGACACGGUCCAGACUCCUACGGGAGGCAGCAGUGGGGAAUAUUGGACAAUGGGCGCAAGCCUGAUCCAGCCAUACCGCGUGGGUGAAGAAGGCCUUCGGGUUGUAAAGCCCUUUUGUUGGGAAAGAAAAGCAGCAGGUUAAUACCCCGCUGUUCUGACGGUACCCAAAGAAUAAGCACCGGCUAACUUCGUG